UACGAAGGGGGCUAGCGUUGUUCGGAAUUACUGGGCGUAAAGCGCGCGCAGGCGGCUAUCCAAGUCAGUGGUGAAAGCCCGGAGCUCAACUCCGGAACUGCCAUUGAAACUGUUUAGCUUGAGGACGAGAGAGGUGAGUGGAAUUCCCAGUGUAGAGGUGAAAUUCGUAGAUAUCAGGAAGAACACCCGUGGCUAAGGCGGCUCUCUAGUACGGUACUGACGCUGAGACGCGAAAGCGUGGGGAGCGAACAGG
rnacentral:rRNA from 1 species